rnacentral:miRNA from 1 species
GUGACAUCUUAUGUACGGCUGC